rnacentral:rRNA from 1 species
AACGAACGCUGGCGGCAGGCCUAACACAUGCAAGUCGAGCGAGGACUUCGGUCCUAGCGGCGGACGGGUGAGUAACGCGUGGGAACGUGCCCUUUGCUUCGGAAUAGCCCUGGGAAACUGGGAGUAAUACCGGAUGAGCCCUUUGGGGGAAAGAUUUAUCGGCGAAGGAUCGGCCCGCGUUGGAUUAGGUAGUUGGUGGGGUAAUGGCCUACCAAGCCGACGAUCCAUAGCUGGUUUGAGAGGAUGAUCAGGCACACUGGGACUGAGACACGGCCCAGACUCCUACGGGAGGCAGCAGUGGGGAAUCUUAGACAAUGGGGGAAACCCUGAUCUAGCCAUGCCGCGUGAGCGAUGAAGGCCUUAGGGUUGUAAAGCUCUUUCAGCUGGGAAGAUAAUGACGGUACCAGCAGAAGAAGCCCCGGCUAACUACGUG